rnacentral:misc_RNA from 1 species
GUAGGUGAACCUGCGGAAGGAUCAUUAACACGUAUCCAACGUUAAACAACCCUGUGAACCUUGAACGUGCUCUCGUACACGCUCUAGCAGCAAUCCCUGGAGUGGUUGCGCAAGGAUGGCGCAGUAAACGAUCGCUGUAGGCCCACACGGCCGGCGACCGGGCCUCUGUGCUUCGGCACCUAAUGACACCAGUUUUCUGACCCGGUGCGCUGUAACAACCGCACCACAAACUCGAACAACUGUUAACAAUGGAUAUCUUGGUUCUU